ACAAGUAGUCAGAGCCCGUUAAUGGGUGAUGGCGUGCCUUUUGUAGAAUGAACCGGCGAGUUACGAUUUGAUGCAAGGUUAAGCAGCUAAUGUGGAGCCGUAGCGAAAGCGAGUCUGAAUAGGGCGUUUAGUAUUUGGUCGUAGACCCGAAACCAGGUGAUCUACCCUUGGUCAGGUUGAAGUUCAGGUAACACUGAAUGGAGGACCGAACCGACUUACGUUGAAAAGUGAGCGGAUGAACUGAGGGUAGCGGAGAAAUUCCAAUCGAACUUGGAGAUAGCUGGUUCUCUCCGAAAUAGCUUUAGGGCUAGCCUCAAGUGAUGAUUAUUGGAGGUAGAGCACUGUUUGGACG
rnacentral:rRNA from 1 species